AUGUGCAAGAACAGGGGUUUGAGUGUAUGCAACAACAAAAAAUUCGACAACGGGUUGGGUGCCCGACAGUCCCGACGAUGGCACCGGAGACGCGUCCGCAGCCGAGUUCGGUCCGCGCAGGAACCGGCGAAGUUGCAGUACAGGAAGCUGGGAGAUUCAGAUCUCCUUAUCAGCGAGAUAACUCUUGGAACAAUGACCUUUGGAGAACAAAGCACAGAGAAGGAAUCACAUGAUAUGAUAUCUUAUUCUUUUGAUCAGGGCAUCAACAUACUCGACACCGCAGAAAUUUACCCAAUUCAACCCAAGGAGGAGACUCAAGGAAGGACUGAUCUAUAUGUAGGCAGGUGGAUGAAAUCCAAGCCACGAGAUAAAGUAAUUUUGGCCACCAAAGUUUCUGGUUAUUCAGAUCGCACUUUUCUUCGGGACAAUGCAGAAAUGGUGCGUGUUGAUGCUCCAAAUAUAAAGGAAAGUGUCGAAAAGAGCCUUUCACGCUUAUCUACAGACUACAUUGAUUUGCUUCACAUACACUGGCCAGAUAGGUAUGUGGCACUAUAUGGCGAAUUCAGUUAUGAUUCAACUAAAUGGAGGCCAAGCGUCCCAUUUGAGGAUCAGUUGAAAGCUCUUCAGGAACUAAUUGAUGAAGGAAAGGUACGAUACAUCGGCGUUUCCAAUGAAACCUCGUACGGGGUAAUGCGGUUUGUACAGGCUGCAAAGCUUCAUGGACUUCCGAAGAUUGUGAGCAUCCAGAACGGUUACAGUCUACUUGUGAGAUGCAGCUUCGAAGUUGAUCUUGCUGAGGUUUGCCACCCAAACAACUGCAACAUUGGGCUGCUCGCCUACUCCCCGCUCGGCAGCGGUGUUCUGACCGGAAAGUAUCUGGAUGAUAGCUGUGGCAACAGCAAGAGUUUCAGGCUAAAUCUCUUCCCUGGAUACAUGCAGCGCUACAACGCCCCUCUGGCUAAGGAAGCAACGAAGGAAUACCUCAAGGUCGCGAAGAAGCAUCGGCUAACUCCGGUCCAGCUUGCCCUGGGCUUCGUCCGUGACCGCCCAUUCACAGCUAGCACCAUCAUCGGAGCGACCACCAUGGAUCAGCUGAAGGAGAACAUCGAAGCGUUCACCAGCGCUCCACGGCCUCUGCCGCCACAAGUUCUUGAUGACAUUGCGACUGUUUUCAAGAGAUACAGAGACCCAGCAGUCCUCUAG
rnacentral:rRNA from 1 species